rnacentral:rRNA from 1 species
UACGUAGGGUGCGAGCGUUGUCCGGAAUUAUUGGGCGUAAAGAGCUUGUAGGCGGUCUGUCGCGUCGGAUGUGAAAGCCCGGGGCUUAACCCCGGGUCUGCAUUCGAUACGGGCAGACUAGAGUGUGGUAGGGGAGAUCGGAAUUCCUGGUGUAGCGGUGGAAUGCGCAGAUAUCAGGAGGAACACCGGUGGCGAAGGCGGGAUCCUGGGCCAGUACUGACGCUGAGGAGCGAAAGCGUGGGGAGCAAACAGG